AACGUCUCAUGUGAAAUGGCUGUUACCUGUGUUUAAUGAACUGGAAUUCUUGGUCACUCUGCCUCUUGGGAUGAUAAUGUCUGCAAAUCUGGUAUCUAUCCAGUGCCUUGAAUGGUGACAAUCAACUGUGACAGCUCUGCAGCUUGUACUACUGGCGAGAGCAAUAGGAGAACUAAAGAUAUCUUCCAUCUCAUCAGUAGAUGCAGGCAAGACGUUGCUCAGAGCCAUCAGCAAGAUGCAAGUGAGCUGACAGUCAGACUCUUGUACAAGAUUUUCAUGCCUUACAAGUGAAGUUCUUCUAAGAGCCAGUCACCAGGAAGCAUCCACUUUAAUUCAGAGCUGGAAUAUGAAAUCAUACAGUUAGAACAGUACAACGAUUCAUUAUUUUAGGUCUGCUAGGUUAUUUUAUGGAGUUCUGCACUUCAGGUAUUCCAGCCAGGUCUGUGUCCCCAGCUGAGAACUCCAGUGGUUUGCGUAGAAAGGUAAGAAAUACAGCAUGUUCCAUGAGGUUUGUGGAGAACACCAAAUGCCUGUUAACCAGAUCAGGUCAAAGCAAAACUCAAAUGAGUGCAUUUUCUGAAUGUUUCUACUGUAUGAUCUUAAGAUGAAAUUAAUUGGUGAAAGAUUUCAGGUGUCAGAUACACCAGCACUCUUGGGACCAGAAGAUCUAAUGAAAGUUAUUUAUCUUUGAUGGUCAUGGGGGUCUACAACCUAUCUUAUUGGAUGCAAUCUUUAGCUGAAAUUUUCUACGAUGAUAAGGCAUUUGGGUUUGUUGUUGUUUCUCCUGCUAUGAUGGUUUUCAGCAUCUCUGAGUGUCAGCUUUUGUUAUGGGCUUUUCUCUGCCAACGCAGUUAUGGGAUAUUUUCCUACAGGGUAUUCAACUGCUUUUGCUUAGCCUGUAGGAACUUACUGGAGACUUUUUUAACUUUUGACACAUUUUGAAUGAAAUUUGCCAAUGAUUUUUCUUUCAUUAGAAAAUUUGGCUAAUACUGUAGAUUAAAAUAAAUAACAGCAAUAAACUUGAUUCAUGUUGAAGUUCUACUACAUGUUGCAAAACUCAUAUCGCAGGUUAGCUCUAAUGCACUCUGUUAUAGCGUGAGCCUUGUAACAAGCUACCUAUUAUCGCUGAGAAAAUGUCAUCAGCUUCCAUCAAAUGUGAGGAUCUUAUCUAGGGCUUCCAACUGUAGCUCACUUUUUUGUGUGUGUGACAGAUUUAGAACAGUAUGAAGGUGUUAUAAAAACCCAGAGAGCCAUCCAUUCAGCACGUUUUUAGAUGGAAUCCUUAGAAAGAAAUAAAAUGUUUUUAAAUUUUCAUUCCCUUUACCUAGCUAGAGCUGUUGAUUGUUUCUGAUAUGUUUAUGUUACAGCUGUUCUGUAAAGACAGACAAAAUGCUCUGUAAUGGUUUUCAAAAGUUCCAUAACAUUUUUCUUCAGCCUGGCACUGUUUAUAUGUUGUCUUGUCUGCUUAUUGCAUCAGGAUGUCCAGAAGAAAAUAACACAGGCAGAAUUGGAUGUCAGGUAAUCAUCAGUAUGAAAAUGGUUUUUUGUUUGUUUGUUUUUUAAUUUCCCUGAAGAAAAUCUACUUGGGAAAAUCAGUAGCAAAACUUUUUUGUCAGUGAAUGUCACUGCUGUGAAACCGGUGCUUUGGUUAAUGUUGAAAUUGGCUUCAGGUGUUAAUGGCAUGAAAUAGCUUACAGAAGAACAUAACACAAGCCUUCUCCAGCUCUUAAUUUACUUUCAUAUGAGAGUACAAGCAAGAGAAAUAGUGCUGAAAACACAGAACUUAUCUUUCUCUACUCAUCGCUCCUUUUCUUCAUCAGUGUUGCUCUGAAGAACUGUUGGUUUAGCAAUUGGGGUGAGAGGACCGUUGUCCCUUAAACACCUGGCAUUUGGAGGCUUCUAAAGUAUACCAUGAAAAGCAAACAAAAUCUGAAGGAAAUGGAGAGUUAAUGUGAAGAAAUAGAUCACUGCUUUGCAAAAUAUCUGUGUGUUUUUCUGAUUAUUAGUACAACAUUUUUGUCUGGAAUUUAUUAAUCCUUUGGAAAUCUGUGCAGGUAAGAAGUGUUGGAAAAGAGUAUUGCCCUCUUUGGGCUAAUAUUCUCCUCAGCUGUUUGAGGAGCAGAGCUCUCAUUGAUAUCUAUGGUGUUCCUCACCAGUUGGCAGUCAUUCCGGUGGUGAUCAGUCAGUGAGCUCUGUUCCUUAAUGAGCAAAAUAUAUAGAUCUCAAUUUAUAAUUUAGAACACGUAAUUCAAAGUGAGAGGGAAAUUAUUCUGGCUAUAAGAAGAAAGCUCUUAUGUUGCAAAGAGAAACAGAAAUCUACCCUAAACAAGGAGAAAUAUCUGCUCUUCCAUUUCUUAUGUGCAAGCCUUGAGCCAAAAAGUAUGCAGUAGUGCAAGCAGCUGCUUUGAGGCUCCUCAAGGAAGCACUGUAAAGUUGCCUUUGUGUCAGAAAAGGUAUUAUUUUCAGUAGCUGUUCCCUGGAGCUUUAUCUGUCCAACAGUCUGUUGCACUCCUGUAACUCUGACUGCACUGUUCUAUCCAGAAUAUACACAAGUUAUAGCUCAUAAAACACAAUUUUGUUGCUAAUGACAUCAUGCAGGAAACAUAUUUUAAAAGCAAUGUUGAAAACUAUUUGUGUUGUGCACUCAAGCUGCAUUUGACUGUUAGAAUCCACCCAAUAUAAAUGUCUGCAGAAGCCACUCUGCAGAUCUUCAGUGCAGGCGUGCGCGCCCUGUCCCAAUUUGAAUUGAUCCUGCAGUGCUGGUUACUAUACCACCAGCUCUUUGGGAGCACAGUUGGAUGGUGAUUUCAUCCAAUAACGGGUGAGAGAGACAAACUAGAGGGGAAGAAAAAGACAAGACAGUGCCAGAUACGAAUAUAUUUUCUAAAAGACCAGACAAGGCUUUGAGGAAUUCCUGUGUAAACGUACUCCGUGAUCCUUUUGUUUGCCCACUUCUGAAAACUGUUCUUUUUCUGGUACAGAUAACUGUGCAAGGGACAGUUCAUGAUUCCAUGCCUUGAGCAAUACCUCACAGAUGGGAUCUUAAGAGAAGAAAAUAGAUCUUUUCUGAUACUGGCUGACCCUACCAUACCAUGAGUAAGAACAAGCCAAAAGUCUGCAUGUCCACACAUCUCCUCACCCUCCACAGGAAGAUAUGUAAGGAUGCCCCAAGGGGCCAAGCCCUACAGUUAGAAAUAUGAGUUACAAAGUCAGCACAGCUGUUAGCUGUCUCACUUUUUCUCUUGGUUCUUAUUAUAUUUAUUCUAAUGCAGUUCUGUAGCUGCAGUCAGGCAGGGUCUUUCAGUUAAGAAAUAAGCUCACUCAUUUUUUUUUUCAUAUAGCGGGACAAACCUUCUUAAGAAGCAUUUUGUAUAAGUUGCCUUGUUGCCAAUCGUGAAUCUUCAGAACUGUCUGCCAAAUGCCUGACACUGAAGUGAUUUAAGACCUGCAUUAGAUCAGCUUCAACUGAGUGUAGCAUGCUGCCCUGGGAGGGUGACUGCUCAAUGAGCAUUCCCCUGGCUCUGAGAAGUGAGAAAAAUAAGUUCUGUUAAAAGAAAGAAUUAAUAGUAAUUUGAAUUGAGAAGCCUAAAUCCUGCCCAGACAUACACUCAGAACAAGUUCAGAGCUCAGAAUGCCGCAGUAAUGCAUAUCAAACUUUCUUUCACAUAAACUCCUCGAAACAUCAGGAUGAAAUGGUUAUCAGGAUUCUGAAGGACUAAGGUCUUCAUGUGUAGUGCUAACAGUUAAAAAGAAGGAAAAGCAACCAAAUUGCCCCUAGUCUGCUCAAGAGCCCGUCACUGCUUCCUAAGUGGUCACGCUACAAAAUCAAAGAAGUAACAAGGUAUGGUUGGUUACCCUUCCAAAAAUAACUGCAAGUAUUAAGUGCUGUCUUUAUGGAGAAGCCAGACCUCCUGCAGUAAGAGGGAAAAUUGAAUUGACUUGCAAGAGGCCAGAAUGCCACCCACAGAGGUGCUUGAUUGCCAGAAAAUGCUGAGUUCCUGCUGCUUGGAAUCACUGCUGUCCGAUAUCCGGCAUUGUACUGAAAGAUUGAAAAAAAAAAAGGAAGUACACUUACUGUUGGAAGGAUCAAUGUCAGAAAAAUGCAGAUAGUGUACCGCUAAUGGAUUGCCUGUCUAAAGCACUGUAGGCUGUUGAGGUAAAAUGGCUCCAUUUAAAACUCCUGCUGUUAAAUCCAUUAUAUGAAAACAAUUGGCUUUGUAAUCCUUUUCCACAAAUACAGAAUCUUUAGCUGACUGUUACAGAUCCAUAUUUCCUGGGACCUGUCGAGUUGCAUAGAUGAAUUUCC
rnacentral:lncRNA from 1 species